UACGAAGGGUCCAAGCGUUAUCCGGAUUUAUUGGGCUUAAAGGGUGCGUAGGCGGCUUAUUAAGUCAGUGGUGAAAGACUUCAGCUUAACUGAAGAAUUGCCAUUGAUACUGAUGAGCUUGAAUAUACUUGAGGUUGGCGGAAUGUGUCAUGUAGCGGUGAAAUGCUUAGAUAUGACACAGAACACCGAUUGCGAAGGCAGCUCGCUAAAGUAUGAUUGACGCUGAGGCACGAAAGCGUGGGGAGCAAACAGG
rnacentral:rRNA from 1 species